GUUUCCUGUUUAAAUGGAGUUAGAAAAGCGUUUACCGGAGGAAAAAGGCUUUAAACAAACAAGAUGCAUCGAUCUUUCAGGGCGAAAUUCAUCAUAAAAACAAAGUUAAUCAAGCCAUAAUUUUAUACGCAUUCCUUUCAGGUUGUAGUCUGCAAAGUUGCAACACCGUCCAUUGGAGGUCUAUUAACAUAUUAGGAUAAUUAGUUGGAUUGGAACAGAACUUUGCUAGAGCAGCUGAAAAGAAUCAUAUCCGCGGAAGUUGUUUGAGAAAUUAUAUUAGUGUGAAAUUAUCUACUGAGCUUAAAUGAGGCCACAUAACAUUUUCUAAGUUUAUCUGCAAACUGACUGAUUUGUUUGUUCACCCAUGUGGUUAAAAAGGACGUUCUCACCCAACAAGCUGUCGGCUCUGAGCGGGUCAGCGGUGCCCCGGCUGAUCGCCCAGUUUAAAUAGAGUGAAGACUCUGCCCACCCGGUUCUCUGUCUGGUCACCCUGUUGGUAAAUGAUGCGGACCCUGUGUGUGUUGUGUGCAUGUAGGUGUGGUUUUAUUAUGGGGGUUGUAGGGCAUGUUUUCCACUACUUUUGACCUGUUACUGAGAAUUAUUUGUGGUUCGGGAGGGGGAGGGUUGGGGACUGCAUUAUCAUUGUUUUAGCACAUUAUAUCAUUAAUAUUAUUGCUUUUAUUACUAGGGCAACAACUAUUUUCUUUUUAACGGCUCAGAAAGAGAGAGUGCAUUAGUGAGUGAGAGGGCAAUAGAGAAAUAUCCAAAGACUUUGUGUGUUUGUUUCUCUGUGUUGUGUUUAUCUUUUUCUUUUCUUUUUGUACUGGGCUUAUGUGUCCCUGUAAAAUGAAUGAGGUGUGCUUGAGUCCAUAUUAAUGGUUUGAAUGAGUGUAUCAACAGUGCUGUCUUUUUCUGUACAGUGAAACACCUGUAUUCUCUCUACCUCUUUUACAAUAAAGACUCUGUAUUAACAAGCA